GUGGGGAAUUUUGGACAAUGGGGGCAACCCUGAUCCAGCCAUGCCGCGUGCGGGAAGAAGGCCUUCGGGUUGUAAACCGCUUUUAGUCGGGAAGAAAAGGUUACUCCGAAUAAGGGUGACUCUUGACGGUACCGGCGGAAUAAGCACCGGCUAACUACGUGCCAGCAGCCGCGGUAAUACGUAGGGUGCGAGCGUUAAUCGGAAUUACUGGGCGUAAAGCGUGCGCAGGCGGUUCGUUAAGUUCGAUGUGAAAGCCCCGGGCUCAACCUGGGAAUGGCAUUGAAAACUGGCGGGCUUGAGUCUGGCAGAGGGGGGUGGAAUUCCGCGUGUAGCAGUGAAAUGCGUAGAGAUGCGGAGGAACACCGAUGGCGAAGGCAGCCCCCUGGGCCAAGACUGACGCUCAGGCACGAAAGCGUGGGGAGCAAACAGGAUUAGAAACCCCGGUAGUCC
rnacentral:rRNA from 1 species